CGUGUAGGCGGGAAAGAAAGUCAGAAGUGAAAUCCCACGGCUUAACUGUGGAGCUGCUUCUGAAACUUCUUUUCUUGAGUGUCGGAGAGGAAAGUGGAAUUCCAAGUGUAGCGGUGAAAUGCGUAGAGAUUUGGAGGAACACCAGUGGCGAAGGCGGCCUUCUGGACGAUAACUGACGCUGAGGCGCGAAAGCGUGGGGAGCAAACAGGAUUAGAUACCCUGGUAGUCCACGCUGUAAACGAUGGAUACUAGGUGUAGGAGGUAUCGACCCCUUCUGUGCCGCAGUUAACACAAUAAGUAUCCCACCUGGGGAGUACGGCCGCAAGGUUGAA
rnacentral:rRNA from 1 species